rnacentral:rRNA from 1 species
GCUUGUCUCAAAGAUUAAGCCAUGCAUGUUCAAGUAUAGCAAGUGUACAGUGAAACUGCGAAUGGCUCAUUAAAUCAGUUAUAAUUUAUUUGAUAGUGAAAUUGUACAUGGAUAACCGUGGCAAUUCUAGGGCUAAUACAUGCGUCAAUGGUCGGUCGACCAGUAUUUAUUAGAUACAAAGCCAGCCGUCAGGAUCAGGUGAAUCAUGAUAACCAAACGAAUCGCAAGCGCAAGCGGCGAUGGUUCAUUCAAAUUUCUGCCCUAUCAACUUUCGAUGGUAAGGUAUUGGCCUACCAUGGUUACAACGGGUAACGGGGAAUUAGGGUUCGGUUCCGGAGAGGGCGCCUGAGAAAUGGCGACCACAUCCAAGGAAGGCAGCAGG